UUUGACCAAUCUCUAGCUUGGUUGGACAAUCUUUCAAAUCUACUCUAAUAUUCCAAUACUGUAGAAGUCUGACGAAUUUUGGCGAGUUGGCCAUCAACAUUCUCAUAUUCGGAUGGGCCAAAGCGAACAAGAAGUCCUCUUUUAAACUGCUCCCACGAAGGAAUUCCAUGGUAAGUUUCGUACCAAUCAUACCACUAGAUUGCAUCUCCAUCGAGCUGGAUUGAGGCCACUUCUACCUUGGAUUCUUCUUGAGUUCUGUGAAAACGAAAAAAAAUUUCCGCCCUAGAGAUCCAACUGGUCGGAUCCCCAUCUUCCCAUCGUGGAAAUUUUACCCUGAUACGUGGGUAGUGUGUGUCACCAUCCUGGGGCCCA
rnacentral:lncRNA from 1 species